rnacentral:rRNA from 1 species
AGUAACGGCGAGUGAAGCGGCAACAGCUCAAAUUUAAAAUCUGGCCUCUUCGGGGCCCGAGUUGUAAUUUGUAGAGGAUGUUUUGGGUACCGCACCGGUCUAAAUUUCUUGGAACAGAAUGUCAGAGAGGGUGAGAAUCCCGUCUUGGACCGGCGUAGGGCCCGUGUAAAACUCCUUCGACGAGUCGAGUUGUUUGGG